CCUACCCCUGACUACCAGCCAGAUUAUCCCUGUCUUGACUAGAACUGAGUCACAGGUUUUAUGCUUGCAAGUGUCAUACUGGCUUUUGAAUAAUUUAGAACUGAGUCACACAGGUUUGUGCUUGCAAGGAUCAUACUUGCUUUUGAAUAAUUAAGACUCACCUCCUGGGAUGAAUGAGAAACCCCACUUUGCUAGUAAUAGUUAUUAUUACUACUACGUUUAUGAAUCCUUGGAUCCAAUCCUUGAACUUCUAAACAAAACAAAACAAAAUAACCCUUCAUUCAUUCUAGUACUUUAAGUGUCAUGGUUUUAGUUUUACCUCUAUUCCUCUUAUUUGUUUCCUUCUGUCUGGACUAUUUCUUGAUUACCAGACUCUUUUCCAACUGCAUACUAGACAUUUUCAUGCAUUUUGAACUUAGUAUUUCCUAUACUGAACUCCCCAACUUCCCUGCGUUCUCCUCUAAUUCAGUAAAUAGCUGAAGCUGAAAAACCUUGGUGUCAUUAUUGAUUUCUCACACAUCCCACAUCUGAUUCAUCAGGAAAUCCUAUUGACUAUCUUUAAAGUAUAUGCAGAAGUUGACCACUUUUCACGACAUCCUCUGCUAUAUCAUGUUCCAAACCAUCUGAAUUAUUACAGUGCAUUCUUUUUUUAAUAUUCAUUUUUUAGGUAUAGAUGGACACAAUGCCUUUAUUUCAUUUACUUAUUUUUAUGUGGUGUUGAGGAUCAAACCCAGGACCUCGCCUGUGCUAGGUGAGCGCUCUACCCCUGAGCUACAAACCCAGCUCCUACAGUGCAUUCUUAUGGUCUUCUGCUCUUCCUACUAA
rnacentral:lncRNA from 1 species